rnacentral:rRNA from 1 species
ACUCCUACGGGAGGCAGCAGUGGGAAUAUUGCACAAUGGGCGCAAGCCUGAUGCAGCCAUCGCCGCGUGUGUGAAGAACGGCCUUCGGGUUGUAAAGCACUUUCAGUUGUGAGGAAAGGUUGAGGUCGCUAAUAUCGGCCUAGGCUGUGACGUUAGCAACAGAAGAAGCACCGGCUAACUCCGUGCCAGCAGCCGCGGUAAUACGGAGGGUGCGAGCGUUAAUCGGAAUUACUGGGCGUAAAGCGCGUGUAGGUGGCUUGUUAAGCCAGAUGUGAAAGCCCCGGGCUCAACCUGGGAACUGCAUUUCGAACUGGCAAACUAGAGUGUGAUAGAGGGUGGUAGAAUUUCAGGUGUAGCGGUGAAAUGCGUAGAGAUCUGAAGGAAUACCGAUGGCGAAGGCAGCCACCUGGGUCAACACUGACGCUCAUGUACGAAAGCGUGGGGAGCAAACGGGAUUAGAUACCCUGGUAGGCUCUGCU